UCCCUCUUCUUCAACUUCGUGUCCUUCGUGCUAGUAAACAUUAAUAAGAAAAGAAGCAAACUAAAGAGAAAAGAUGAAAGUGUAUGAGAAGCUUAGUAAAAAUAAGAAUAGAAUACCUGUGGUUACAAAAUUAAAUAUAGGUUGUUAGCAAAAAGUUUUCUAUUAGAGAAAAAAUAGAAGGAAAGAAUUUGAAUUAGCCGAAAAAAGCACCUGAAUCGAAAAGAGUGACCAAAUAUUUUAUAUUAAAAAAUAGAUAUAUACAUAUACAAAUGUUGAUAAGUUUUGUAAAUUUUGGAGAGUAAAUAUAUACAUGAAAUAGAUACAUACACAGAGCUUCUAGACUCAAAAGCAGCAUACAUCCUCAAUCGUGUCUCUAAAAAACUAAGAAAAACAUGAAAUUCCAAAACAUUCGAUUAAGAAAAAUAAUAUUCAAGCGAAUCAGAUUCAUGAUAGCAAGACAAACCUUAAAAAUUAUAGCAAAUUAUUUGUACGUAUAAAUUAUAUAAAUUACAGAAAGAAACAUUUAUAUAUCAGCAAACUCUUUUAUUUUCUGAAAGUUGGUACAUCAACGGUUAACUAAUUAAAAUAAAUCGCAAGAAGAAGCAUUUAACACUAAGAUUAUCUAAAAUAUUUAAUUCAAGUGAGUCACAAGAAGCAUUAUUACAUCUCAGCAAGAUUAUCAAAUAAAUCACUAAAAUUAAUUGUAAACUACCAUCAGCCAAAGUAAUUGAAAUACAAAAGUAGACAACAAAAUCCACGAUCGACUAUAUAUUAAAAUAUUUUAAAUCGGUAGUCAUUGAAAUAAAAUUAUAUGCAUAUAAAAAAAAAGAAUAAAACAAAAUAGACUUAUUUAAUAAAGAUUUAUCACAGUAGAGUUUUUCUACCUACUGUUGGAAAAGGUGUCUCUCCAAAAUUCCGCUUCACUGCCGCAUCAAUAUUUCUUUUUUAAAAGAAAAUUCUAUUACUGAAAUAAUUUUAUUGAAUAUUUUUAAAAAUAAGUAAUAAUAAGGAUUAAAUAGAGUAAUUAUAUAUAAGUUAUAUUUUAAUAUUUAUGUAAAAUAUUAAAAAGUAUUUUAAUGAAACAAAAAUAAUAUUAUAUACGAAGAAAAAUUUAUUUAAUACACACCUCAUGUAAAAGAAGGUGAUAUGGAUAGAUCGACUAUACUAUAGUAAAGUCUAUAUAAAAUAUAGAUAGAUGGGCAUUAUUAUAGAAAAUAAAAUUGUUGGGCGUGAAUCUCUUGAUUAUGAUGAAAAAUUAAAAUGGCCGAAUUAAAUAAUUCGAGCUGAUAUAAUAAAUUAUAAAAUAAAAUUAUUUGCUAAAGAAUUAAUUUGGACCAAAAAGAAAGAAUACAACCAUAAACGAUAAACUCAACAAUUAAAAAAAAGGAAUAAUUAAAUAAUCUAACAAUUAAUUUAAGUAUAAACUAUGUAUAACAAUAAGAAAGAAUCCCUAAUCUAAAUCCAUCUAUACGCCCAAAUUUUAGGCGGCACCUUCUUCUUCUUCUUCUUCUUCACUCCGAAUUCUCGUGUGGAGGAAUUAAAUGUGACAAUCAUUUAUGAUAUUUUGACAGGACCAAAUUGAAGCAGAUAGAGGUGGAUUUAAAAAGGUGUUGUGAGACACUGAGAGAAGAGAAUAGGAGGUUGCAAAAAGAGCUUCAGGGAUUAAGGCGUCUCAGCCAUUUUACCUGCAGCUUCCGGCCACCACCCUCCAACCAUUUUUCAUGCUUCUUCCCAGAAGACACCUUCUUGAUCAUAGCAUCGCAUCUCUCUUGCCUAUCGCUCAUUCCUGCCUUCUACAUCAGCAACUGCAACACUGAAGUCUGCCACUCUGCCUCCGUGGCUCCUCCAUGGGGCAUAUCGCUCAUUGUGUAAUUUUUCCUAAAAUAAGUUAGAGAAGUAUGAAAUGGUAAAUGAAUGUGAUUUGGUAUUUAUAAAUUGUCAAUCCGGAUGUUUUGUUUGUAGCAGUUUGUUACCACUUUUUAGUAGUGGGUUGCUGCAGUUAUUUGCUAAUUGGCGUGGGUUGUUCAUUCAAGAAACAUGGUGGUUAUGGAAUGCAGAAGGGAUAAAAAUACGAUGGAAACUUGGUAUAAUGCGGCGUGGAAAAACUGAAUAAGAAAGAGAAGAUUUAGCGGUGUAAUAGAUAUAUAGAUUUGCCCUUUGUAUGUUAUUUUAUUUUCUAAAUUGCCACAAACUGUGUUUUCAUAUAAUAUAUAGAUUAUAAUUUCCACAUAAUUUUGUAAAGAGAAAAUGUAUACUACUACUAUUUUAGAACCAAAGUAUUAACGGAUUUCAAUUAUAGGCUACACUUUGACUAUUUACAAAAAUGAAUCUCAUAAAUUACACUUGAAACAAAUCAAGAUUCGACUUAACGUUAUUUCUCACCUUAUAUCUUGAAAAAAUAAAUACAAAGGAUGUGUAGAAAAACCUCUACAGCUUAAAUAAUCAGAAAUAACUUUUUACACGCUAUUUAUAUUUUUUCAAAAAUUAAAAUUAAUAGAAAUAUAAAGUCAAUUUAAAUUUCAACCGAGAUAGAUUUAUAAGAUUCAUUUUCGUAAAUACUCGAAGUAUGUAGUUUAGAAUUCGAAAUACGAGGAUAUUUUGGAUUCCAAAUUAUAUUUUUCUCCCCUCUUAAAAUGUUGCGAACUUGCGAUUAUAAAAAAGGUCUUUAUAGCCAUAAACUCAUGUGUUUGUCUAUUUUUUUUCAUUUUUUAGAUUUUCUAGACCCAACAACUAUUCUUGAGUUCAAUAACCCAAUUAAUGAACUGAUUAGAAUAAAGUAUAUUUAAAGUAUUUCCACUAAUUAAAUCUACUCAAAUGUUCUUAUAUUUAAUCUAUUUCUCAUUAGAGAUAUCGAAAAAAUGUCAACAAUUUUCCACGCGUCCAAAAUAUGGACUUGCAAAAGAUUUAAAAAUUACGAAAUACAUAGAUGAUUCUCUAACUAUUUUCCAGUAAUGCACAUUGUCUUUUUCCCAUUAAUUGCUCUUUCAUUCCCUCUUCUUCAACUUCGUGUCCUUCGUGCUAGUAAACAUUAAUAAGAAAAGAAGCAAACUAAAGAGAAAAGAUGAAAGUGUAUGAGAAGCUUAGUAAAAAUAAGAAUAGAAUACCUGUGGUUACAAAAUUAAAUAUAGGUUGUUAGCAAAAAGUUUUCUAUUAGAGAAAAAAUAGAAGGAAAGAAUUUGAAUUAGCCGAAAAAAGCACCUGAAUCGAAAAGAGUGACCAAAUAUUUUAUAUUAAAAAAUAGAUAUAUAC
rnacentral:lncRNA from 1 species